GCGCGAAAACUUUACAAUGCUGGCAACAGCGAUAAGGGAACCUCGAGUGCCAGGUUACAAAUCUGGCUGUCGAGAUGCCUAAAAAGCAUUUCAUAGCAAGGGCCGGGCAAGACCGGUGCCAGCCGCCGCGGUAACACCGGCGGCUCGAGUGGUAACCGUUAUUAUUGGGUCUAAAGGGUCUGUAGCCGGCCGGAUAAGUCUCUUGAGAAAUCUGGCAGCUUAACUGUCAGGCUUUCAGGGGAUACUGUCUGGCUCGAGGCCGGGGGGGGUGAGAGGGAAUUCAGGGGUAGGGGUUAAAACUUGUAAUCCUUGGAGGAACACCCGUGGCGAAGGCGUCCCACCAGAACGGACCUGACGGCAAGGGACGAAAGCUAGGGGCACGAACCG
rnacentral:rRNA from 1 species